ACAAGCGGAGGAGCAUGUGGUUUAAUUCGAUGAUACGCGAGGAACCUUACCUGGGCUCGAACGUAAGAUGACUGUAGGUGAAAGCUUACAUCUCUUCGGAGCAUUUUACGAGGUGCUGCAUGGUUGUCGUCAGCUCGUGCCGUGAGGUGUCGGGUUAAGUCCCAUAACGAGCGCAACCCCUACCUUUAGUUGCCAUCAGGUUAAGCUGGGGACUCUAAAGGAACUGCCUACGCAAGUAGUGAGGAAGGCGGGGAUGACGUCAAAUCAGCACGGCCCUUACGUCCAGGGCUACACACGUGCUACAAUGGCCGAUACAGAGGGCAGCUACCUGGUGACAGGAUGCAAAUCUCCAAAGUCGGUCUCAGUUCGGAUCGGAGUCCGCAACCCGACUCCGUGAAGUUGGAUUCGCUAGUAAUCGCGCAUCAGCCAUGGCGCGGUGAAUACGUUCCCGGGCCUU
rnacentral:rRNA from 1 species